AUUGGUGGCAGGUCGGGUGUAUGUGCCAUCAACAAAACUGAUUUUGUUUUUGGCUGUUAAGGUAACAAUCAUUUUGCAUUUCCAGCCCCCAUACCCACUACCCGAGAAGGGAGUGGGAACAAGUGAUACCCCAGGGACAUCGGAUGAGUACACAAAAAGGGGACUAGAAGAAUCUACAGCAGUAGAGGCACCAACGUUUGUGCUAGAAGCCAUAAUGAACCGGCUUAAAUGAAUAACUUUUCAACAAACAGAAUACUACCAAACCAGGUAUUCAAACACAGCAACCAACAAACAGACGACAGUCAGGUCAAAUAUUCACAGACAACACCAGAUGCUCAUAAUAACAGAGUCAAAUAAUCACAAAUAAUAUCGAAGAUAAGGACAGAGUUACCCUUCUUCUUCGCGACCGGAGAAGAUCGGCCUUCAAACAGAAGAGAAACCAUAGGUGUAACUUUGAAAACAAAUUUUUUUACCGGAAAUCUGGUCAGCAACGCCGGAAAUGCACCCAAAGCGUCCUCAAAAAGUGAUAAUCGAGCUACCGGAAUACAGUAAAACCUCAGGUUAGACCGUCAAAAAAACCCUAGAAGCAGAUAAGUCACCCAAAAUUAACCAAGCAAGAUCAUCAUAAAAUCUUUCCAGAAUGUUCAGGAGAUGAAAAUACACUCG
rnacentral:lncRNA from 1 species